rnacentral:rRNA from 1 species
UUGAAUUUAUUUGAUUAUUAUUGUUUAUUUAUAAAAUAUUAUUAUUUUUAUUAGGUUAAGUAAAAAAUUUUAAUUAUUAUAGUUAAUUAGUAUAGAGAUAGAAUUUUUAAAGUUUAAAUGUAAAAAAGAAAAUUUAAAUAUUGUACCUUGUGUAUCAGGGUUUAUUAAUUAAAAAUUUUAAAAAUAAUUUUCUCGAAUUAAAAAGAGCUAAAUUAUUAUUUAUUUUAUUGUGAAAUAAAUAUUUAAAAUAAUAUUUUAGAAGUGAAACGUUAUUCGUUUUUUAGGAUAUCUAGUUUUUGGAGAAAAAAAUUUAAUUUUAAUUAUAAAAUUUAAAAUUGUAUAUUUUUAUGUAAUUUUUAAUUUUUAAUUUAUACUUUAGGGGAUAAGCUUUAAAGUAGAUUUUUAUAAUUUUUAUGGUUUAGUAGAUUAGUAGGAUUAGAAAUGUCUAUCAUUAAUUUGUUAUAAUUAAUUUAUUAAUUUAUAUAAUUUUUUAAAAUUUAAAUUAUUUAUCUAAAUAAAUUAACUAAUUUAAAAUUUGUUGUAAUAAUGAUAAAAUUAGUAUAAUUUUUUAAAAAUUUUAUUAUAAUUUUAAGGUAAAUAAAAGGAAUUCGGCAAAAUAUUUCUCGCCUGUUUAUUAAAAACAUGUCUUUUUGAUAAUGAUUUAAAGUUUAGCCUGCCCACUGAAAAUUUAAAGGCCGCGGUAAUUUGACCGUGCAAAGGUAGCAUAAUAAUUAGUUUUUUAAUUGAAAGCUGGAAUGAAUGGUUGAACGAGGAAAUAACUGUCUCUUGUUUAUUUAAUUAGAAUUUUAUUUCUUAGUCAAAAAGCUGAGAUGAUUUUAAAAGACGAGAAGACCCUAUAGAGUUUUAUAUUAAUUUUUUUAUAAAUUUAUUAGAUUUAUUUUAUUUAUAUUAAAAUUAUUAUUUUGUUGGGGCGAUAGAAAAAUGUAAUAAACUUUUUUUUUAUUAAACAUUAAUUUAUGAUUUUUUGAUCCAUUGGUUAUGAUUAUAAGAUUAAAUUACCUUAGGGAUAACAGCGUAAUUAUAUUUGAGAGUUCUAAUCGAAAGUAUUGUUUGCGACCUCGAUGUUGGAUUAAAAUAAAUGUUUGGUGUAGAAGCUAAACUAUUAGGUCUGUUCGACCUUUAGAAUUUUACAUGAUCUGAGUUUAAACCGGUGUGAGCCAGGUUGGUUUCUAUCUUUAAAUUUAUAAAAUAUUUUAGUACGAAAGGACCAAAUAUUAAUUAAUUUAAUUUUAUUAGAAUAAAAAUGUUACU